GGUGAGGUGCAGGAGUGGUUUAACUGUUCGCUUUCGAAAAGCGAUGUCUCGAUUUAUCGGGACCGUGGGUUCGAAUCCCACCCUCACCG
rnacentral:tRNA from 1 species